UUGAAAGACCAGUUCCCGUACGGUCACCGAAGUUAAGCAACGUCGGGCCUGGUCACUAACAAUACGGUGACCGCCUGGGAAUACCAGGUACUGUAA